rnacentral:lncRNA from 1 species
UACUAGUUAGGCACAGCGGAGGCCAGUGCCAUCUUAUAAUGGCGAUUGCUCGCGGCACGGCUCUCCACAUCGAUUACUGGCAGCACGCACACGAUUGCUCGCGGCAGGCUCUCCACAAUAACUCCCCGAGGUUUUCACAACGGACACCUCUCCCUGGGGCUCCAAUGUAGUAUGUUCUGGACUGGGCUCAGGAUUGCAGGCCUUUCUGUGACUCAUCUCAUCAUCUGUGUCAGGAUCAUGCACUCUGAGGAUACAGUUCUAAGAAGGGUUACAGUGUGCAUUCAUCAAACAACCAUUUCUUGGCCCCUCUGAGGAGACAUACAGUAAGCAGGGUGUCAAUGAUCAAUGAUCAAGUCAGAGGGAAAAACUCUUCACCACAAAUCGUACUUUGAUAUUGGAGUGAGCUGGAUGUAGCCCACAGGGUACCACACCCACCUCACUUCUCUUCACCCUUCUGUCUGCUCCUGGACACCAGCAGAGCCCACAAGCCAUUGGUACCAAGUCUCAUCCUCACUCUGACUCCUGAUGGGAGCUGAAGACUCAUCUUUUCAAUAACUGUAUCCUUCCAGGUUAGGAAAUCGGAAACAUUUCAAUCCUUCAACAUUCUCCUCUUUUCCUUUUCAAUUUUUUUGUUACUGGCACCAAAUAGUUGAUAUGGCGGGUUGUCUAUGAACUCACCAGUGAUAUAAUGACACGGAGGCUUAUUAUCAUUUUAAAGCUUAGGCCUUAGCUUGGGAAAUCUCUCAGCUAGCUCAUCUUAACCCUACUAAUCCCAGCCUAUGUCCUGUCACAUGCCUACAUCCUCCUCUCUGCUCUGCUCUGGUCCACCAGUCCACCCCGAGUCAGCUCGUGAACCUCCUGUGUCUCAGUUCUCCUCUCAGAGUCCCUGUUUCUGCUUGGAAGUCCAACCUUCCACUUCUUGCUCAGCCACUGGCUGUCAGAUUUUUAUUACAUUCAAUAGGCAGGUAAGGAAGCAUGAAUGUUUACACAAUACGAGGCCAGUGAUAGGCCAUAGAUAAAACAGUACAAAGAUCUGGCUAGUACUUAGCUCUCUGCCAGCUUGGCCACCAGUGAUUGGAUAUACAGAGACAACCUUCACACAGUGUACCAAAGGUUACCCCACAGGUUCAUCUUGGUGCUCAGAUGAGAAACCUAGCAAUUAUCCAGGAAUCCUUUCUCCACCACUCUCUAUGUCCCAUGGGAAAUGGGCUCCUUUUAUUUACUUUAAAAAGUAAAGCUAAGGCUCUUGGGGCUGUGGCCUUUGCUCUUAGCACUGUUAUACAGCCAUGUUGGAUGACUCCUGAUUCCUCAAAUAAACUCUUUGUCUUUACACAUC